AGACUUUGAUCCUCGGCUCAGAACGAACGCUGGCGGCAGGCUUAACACAUGCAAGUCGAACGCAUGCCUUCGGGCAUGAGUGGCGCACGGGUGAGUAACGCGUGGGAACCUACCUUGGAGUUCGGAAUAACCGCGGGAAACUGCGGCUAAUACCGGAUACGCCCUACGGGGGAAAGAUUUAUCGCUCCAGGACGGGCCCGCGUCGGAUUAGGUAGUUGGUGGGGUAAGAGCCUACCAAGCCGACGAUCCGUAGCUGGUCUGAGAGGAUGAUCAGCCACACUGGGACUGAGACACGGCCCAGACUCCUACGGGCAGGCAGCAGUGGGGAAUAUUGGACAAUGGGCGCAAGCCUGAUCCAGCCAUGCCGCUGUGAGUGAAGAAGGCCUUAGGGUUGUAAAGCUCUUUCGCACCUGCGACGAUGAUGACCGGUAGCGUCGAGAAGAAGCCCCGGCUAACUCCGUGCCAGCAGCCGCGGUCAAUCACGGAGUGUGAGGCUA
rnacentral:rRNA from 1 species